GUCACUUUGGCCGAGUGGUUAAGGCGGUGCCCUGCUAAGGCAUUACGUUCGCGUGCGUAGGUUCGAAUCCUGCAGGUGACG
rfam:Cordyceps militaris CM01 unplaced genomic scaffold CCM_S00004, whole genome shotgun sequence.